rnacentral:sRNA from 1 species
GACUCACUUGAUAUCGCUGAAUUAGUAAUGGAAUUAGAAGACGAGUUUGGUACUGAAAUUCCUGAUGAAGAAGCUGAAAAAAUCAACACUGUUGGUGAUGCUGUUAAAUUUAUUAACAGUCUUGAAAAAUAAUAAAUCUUACAUCUGGGUCGUCAGUAUUGUCGACUCAGUUUUUUUCUUUAAUUAUCAAUAGUUUUAACGUAAAAUUAAAGAUGAUUCAAGAGCAACACAUAAAGGAGAUAAAAUAAUGUCUAAACAAAAGAAAAGUGAGAUAGUUAAUCGUUUUAGAAAGCGCUUUGAUACUAAAAUGACAGAGUUAGGCUUUACUUAUCAAAAUAUUGAUUU